rnacentral:lncRNA from 1 species
AGGAUUUUUCAAAUUCGAUGCCAGUAUUUUGUAAGGGUGGUUGAAGUAGUUAUCUUAUGUUAUUAAUGUUUAAGUGCAUAUAAACCUACUUCAGGCCGGAGUGGGAUAAAUGUAAUUCAGACACACUUGUUGGCAGAAGGGAGAAGAUGAAGUUCUUUGUCAUAUCCUGAGUUCUGAGUACUUUCUCUGGAGUUUUGAGAGUUUGCUGUUUGGCUGGCACUCCUGGUGGCUUUAUCUUUCCAUAUUUGAAUUACUUUUGCAGUCAGACAGCACUGCCAAGGACACGGAGAACGGUGUUGGCAACUAACCCUACUAUGUUACUACUCCUAUCAGAACGGGUUGAAUGAGACCUUUACCAGUUUCCUCAUUAUAUCAAUUUCCAUUUCAUACUUUAAGAACUAAAGCAGUAAUGGGUCUGAGCCAAAGGGAAGAAAAUUGCAGCAAUUGACGGUUUUUAAUGUCUCCUACGUAACGAGCAGACAUUCUUCCUGCUCAUUUUAUAGAUUGCUCAGUAGCUCCAUGGUCACACGGAAUAGCCUGUAGUCCUUCACCAUAUCACUGGGACACGUGGGGCUGAGUGGUCGGAUGAGGAGUGACCCGCAGACAGCUUUGUGAUCUGAUUCUACCUCUUCAUAGCAGAGAAAAUUUUGAAAAUGAAAGAGGUGCUGGAGCCAAAAUAAGAGUGCAUUUCAGUAUGAUUCUAAUUUGAGACCUGUAUUUGCCUCUGAGCUGAUAUGUUUAUAAUCAUUGUUUGUCUUUGACACCAGUCAAAAAA